rnacentral:lncRNA from 1 species
CCCCUCCAAGGACCCUCCAAAUAUAUGGAAAAACUAAGAAAGAAUUGAACAUAUCUGUGUUAGAUACAUACCCAAAUCUGCCACUCACACCGAAGUCCGAGUAACAUAGUAGACAACCAAACAUUAGAGUAUUACCACUCAAAAUUUUCCAGCAGACAAGGUCCAAAAGAACUAAAAUAACAAAUUCUAUUGACUAACAAAUCAAGAACAAGGUCCAGCAGACUAAAAUAACAUUUCAUCUUCCACAACAGUUUCAUCUUAUACUCACUAACAAACUAAAAUAACAUUUUCCAGCAGACUAUCAAAACAAUGUCCAGAACAAAC